UACGUAGGGGGCAAGCGUUGUCCGGAUUUAUUGGGCGUAAAGAGUGUGUAGGCGGUGCUCUAAGUUCGGUGUGAAAUCUCCCGGCUUAACUGGGAGGGUGCGCCGGAAACUGGAGUGCUCGAGCGUGGGAGAGGAAAGCGGAAUUCCUGGUGUAGCGGUGGAAUGCGCAGAUAUCAGGAGGAACACCAAUGGCGAAGGCAGAUCUCUGGGCCGUAACUGACGCUGAGGAGCGAAAGCAUGGGGAGCGAACAGG
rnacentral:rRNA from 1 species